rnacentral:rRNA from 1 species
CAAGCGGUGGAUGAUGUGGUUUAAUUCGAUGCAACGCGAAAAACCUUACCCACCUUUGACAUGUACGGAAGUUACCAGAGAUGGUUUCGUGCUCGAAAGAGAACCGUAACACAGGUGCUGCAUGGCUGUCGUCAGCUCGUGUCGUGAGAUGUUGGGUUAAGUCCCGCAACGAGCGCAACCCUUGCCAUUAGUUGCUACAUUCAGUUGGGCACUCUAAUGGGACUGCCGGUGACAAACCGGAGGAAGGUGGGGAUGACGUCAAGUCCUCAUGGCCCUUAUAGGUGGGGCUACACACGUCAUACAAUGGCUGGUACAGAAGGUUGCCAACCCGCGAGGGGGAGCUAAUCCUAUAAAGCCAGUCGUAGUCCGGAUCGCAGUCUGCAACUCGACUGCGUGAAGUCGGAAUCGCUAGUAAUCGCGGAUCAGAAUGUCGCGGUGAAUACGUUCCCGGGUCUUGUACACACC